GUGAGGAAUAUUGGUCAAUGGGCGGAAGCCUGAACCAGCCAAGUCGCGUGAAGGAUGAAGGUAUUAUGUAUUGUAAACUUCUUUAGCAGUGGAGUAAUAAGGUGGUCGUGACCACUGAUGCAAGUACACUGAGAAUAAGGAUCGGCUAACUCCGUGCCAGCAGCCGCGGUAAUACGGAGGAUCCGAGCGUUAUCCGGAUUUAUUGGGUUUAAAGGGUGCGCAGGCGGCCUUUUAAGUCAGCGGUAAAAUCGUGGGGCUCAACCCCAUCCUGCCGUUGAUACUGGAGGGCUUGAUUGCGGUCGAGGUAGGCGGAAUUCGUCGUGUAGCGGUGAAAUGCAUAGAUAUGACGAAGAACACCGAUUGCGUAGGCAGCUUACCAGACCGCAAAUGACGCUCAGGCACGAAAGUGCGGGGAUCGAACAGG
rnacentral:rRNA from 1 species